ACAUACGACCAUAGGUAAUGGAAAAUUCGGGGUCCCGUCUGCUCCCCCAUAGACAAGCCAUUAACCGGCAGAUUAGUAGUUGAGUGGCUGACCAUCAGCGAACACCGGCUGUUGUAUGUU
rfam:Trichoderma atroviride IMI 206040 TRIATcontig_28, whole genome shotgun sequence.